rnacentral:rRNA from 1 species
GAUGAACGCUAGCGGCAGGCCUAACACAUGCAAGUCGAGGGGUAGCAGGAUUAAGCUUGCUUAAUUGCUGACGACCGGCGCACGGGUGCGUAACGCGUAUGCAACCUACCUUAUACUGGGGUAUAGCCCGGAGAAAUUCGGAUUAAUCCCCCAUAGUACUAAUGAAUCGCAUGGUUUAUUAGUUAAAGCAUUGCGGUAUAAGAUGGGCAUGCGUCCUAUUAGCUAGAUGGUGAGGUAACGGCUCACCAUGGCUACGAUAGGUAGGGGGCCUGAGAGGGUGGUCCCCCACACUGGUACUGAGACACGGACCAGACUCCUACGGGAGGCAGCAGUGAGGAAUAUUGGUCAAUGGGCGCAAGCCUGAACCAGCCAUGCCGCGUGCAGGAAGAAUGCCCUAUGGGUUGUAAACUGCUUUUAUUUGGGAAUAAACCUCUUUACGUGUAGAGAGCUGAAGGUACCAAAUGAAUAAGCACCGGCUAACUCCGUGCCAGCCGCCCCGUAAC